GCCUGGGUGGCUCAGUCGGUUAAGCGUCUGAUUUUGGCUCAGGUCAUGGUCUCACGGUUCAUGGGUUCGAGCCCCACAUCAGGCU
rnacentral:tRNA from 1 species